CGAUGGAAUAGGAUGUCAGAUGCCCAGCAAGAGAGAAGACAAGCAAGCCGUCUCUGUAUUACCGUGGAAGGCGGUACUUGAGGAGCCCAGCAGUGCUUGUACCUCCUCCCUCCCCAGUACACUUCUUGGAGCAAUUACAUUCUGAAGCCAUACCACUAUGGGCUCAAGUCGACAUGCUUCCGCAGGAUCUAUUGAAGGAAUGCAUCUUGUCACAUGAGAAAUCCACAGCUUGCCCUGAGGUGAAAAUGGAGCUGUCUAAGAUGAAAAAGUCUCUUCCCCUGGAAAAGAGCCGGCCUGACAGUGCCGUCUCAUCUAA
rnacentral:lncRNA from 1 species